rnacentral:misc_RNA from 1 species
GGAAGUAAAAGUCCUAACAAGGUCUCCGUUGGUGAACCAGCGGAGGGAUCAUUACAGGACUCGCAAGACUCCUACAACCCUGUGAACUUAACUAUAAGCACGUUGCUUCGGCGGGUGUCUCGGAGGGGGUUCUCCCUCCCCGAGACGCUAAACCCGCCGGCAGCCUACUAUACUCUGUCUCUUUGCGUUGGCAUCUCGAGUACAAUCAAACAAGUUAAAACUUUCAACAACGGAUCUCUUGGUUCUG